AAAUUGAAGAGUUUGAUCAUGGCUCAGAUUGAACGCUGGCGGCAGGCCUAACACAUGCAAGUCGAACGGUAACAGGAAGAAGCUUGCUUCUUUGCUGACGAGUGGCGGACGGGUGAGUAAUGUCUGGGAAACUGCCUGAUGGAGGGGGAUAACUACUGGAAACGGUAGCUAAUACCGCAUAACGUCGCAAGACCAAAGAGGGGGACCUUCGGGCCUCUUGCCAUCGGAUGUGCCCAGAUGGGAUUAGCUUGU
rnacentral:rRNA from 1 species